UACGUAGGCGGAAAGAUAAGUCAGUGGUGAAAUCCUGCAGCUCAACUGUAGAACUGCCAUUGAAACUAUUUUUCUUGAGUAUAGUUGAGGUGGGCGGAAUGUGUCAUGUAGCGGUGAAAUGCUUAGAUAUGACACAGAACACCGAUUGCGUAGGCAGCUCACUAAACUAUUACUGACGCUGAGGUACGAAAGCGUGGGGAGCGAACAGGAUUAGAUACCCUGGUAGUCC
rnacentral:rRNA from 1 species